GAUCCUGGCUCAGGAUGAACGCUAGCGACAGGCUUAACACAUGCAAGUCGAGGGGCAGCACGGCGUAGUAAUACGCUGGUGGCGACCGGCGCACGGGUGAGUAACACGUGUGCAACCAACCCCGUACCGGGAGAUAACCCGCGGAAACGUGGACUAACAUCCCAUGACACUCGAGAGCCGCAUGGCUAUCGAUUUAAAACCCCGGUGGUACGGGACGGGCACGCGCGACAUUAGGUAGUUGGCGGGGUAACGGCCC
rnacentral:rRNA from 1 species